rnacentral:rRNA from 1 species
UACGUAGGCAGCAAGCGUUGUUCGGAGUUACUGGGCGUAAAGGGUGCGCAGGCGGCCGCCUAAGUUUGCGGUGAAAGCUCCUGGCUCAACUGGGAGAGGGCCGUGAAGACUGGGGGGCUUGAGGCUCGGAGAGGGACGUGGAAUUCCGGGUGGAGCGGUGAAAUGCGUAGAGAUCCGGAAGAACACCGACGGCGAAGGCAGCGUCCUGGCCGAGCACUGACGCUCAGGCACGAAAGCUCGGGGAGCAAACAGG